GCACAAGCGGUGGAGCAUGUGGUGCACAAGCGGUGGAGCAUGUGGUUCAAUUCGAAGCAACGCGAAGAACCUUACCAGCCCUUGACAUGCCACGACGGUUUCCAGAGAUGGACUCCUCCCCGCAAGGGGCGUGGACACAGGUGCUGCAUGGCUGUCGUCAGCUCGUGUCGUGAGAUGUUGGGUUAAGUCCCGCAACGAGCGCAACCCUCGCCCUUAGUUGCCAUCAUUUAGUUGGGCACUCUAAGGGGACUGCCGGUGAUAAGCCGCGAGGAAGGUGGGGAUGACGUCAAGUCCUCAUGGCCCUUACGGGCUGGGCUACACACGUGCUACAAUGGCGGUGACAAUGGGAUGCAAUGGAGUAAUCCUGCGCAAAUCUCAAAAAGCCGUCUCAGUUCGGAUUGUGCUCUGCAACUCGAGCACAUGAAGUUGGAAUCGCUAGUAGUCGCAGAUCAGCACGCUGCGGUGAAUACGUUCCCGGGC
rnacentral:rRNA from 1 species